rnacentral:rRNA from 1 species
GACGAACGCUGGCGGCGUGCUUAACACAUGCAAGUCGAACGCGCCUGUCCUCUGGGUUUCUGGGGGGUGGGUGAGUGGCGAACGGGUGAGUAACACGUGAGUAACCUGCCCCCUUCUUCGGGAUAACGGUCUGAAAGGGCUGCUAAUACCGGGUAUUCACUGGUCUCCGCAUGGGGUCUGGUGGAAAGGUUUUUUUCUGGUGGGGGAUGGGCUCGCGGCCUAUCAGCUUGUUGGUGGGGUGAUGGCCCACCAAGGCUUUGACGGGUAGCCGGCCUGAGAGGGUGACCGGUCACAUUGGGACGGAGAUACGGCCCAGAGUCCUACGGGGGGCAGAAGUGGGGAAUAUUGCACAAUGGGCGCAAGCGUGAUGCAGCGACGGCGCGUGAGGGAUGGAGGCCUUCGGGUUGUGAACCUCUGUCGCACGUGGUCAAGCCGCGACGUGGGUCGUGGUGAGGGUAGUGGGUAAAGAAGCGCCGGCUAACUACGUG